UACGUAGGGGGCAAGCGUUGUCCGGAAUCAUUGGGCGUAAAGAGCGUGUAGGUGGCUCGGUAAGUCCGCUGUGAAAGUCCAGGGCUCAACCCUGGAAUGCCGGUGGAAACUGUCGGGCUAGAGUCCGGAAGAGGCGAGUGGAAUUCCUGGUGUAGCGGUGAAAUGCGCAGAUAUCAGGAGGAACACCAAUGGCGAAGGCAGCUCGCUGGGACGGUACUGACACUGAGACGCGAAAGCGUGGGGAGCAAACAG
rnacentral:rRNA from 1 species